rnacentral:rRNA from 1 species
AAUAUUGGACAAUGGGGGACACCCUGAUCCAGCGAUGCCGCGUGGGUGAAGAAGGCCUUCGGGUUGUAAAGCCCUUUAGGUUAGGAAGAAGUUAUUUUGUUUAAGAGAUGAAGUAAUUGACGGUACUAACAGAAUAAGCACCGGCAAACUCUGUGCCAGCAGCCGCGGUAAUACAGAGGGUGCGAGCGUUAAUCGGAAUUACUGGGCGUAAAGGGCGCGUAGGCGGUAUUAAGAGUGUGAUGUGAAAGCCCCGGGCUUAACCUGGGAAGUGCAUCGCAAACGAUAUUGCUGGAGUACAGGAGAGGGUGGCGGAAUUUCCGGUGUAGCGGUGAAAUGCGUAGAGAUCGGAAGGAACGUCGAUGGCGAAGGCAGCCACCUGGCCUGAUACUGACGCUGAGGCGCGAAAGCGUGGGUAGCGAAC